rnacentral:rRNA from 1 species
CUUGGCGACCAUAGCGGAGGGGGUACACCUGUUCCCAUCCCGAACACAGAAGUUAAGCCCUCCUGCGGCGAUGGUACUACACACAAGAGUGUGGGAGAGUAGCACGUUGCCAAGA